rnacentral:rRNA from 1 species
GCAUGCUAAACGGUGCUCACAACACAGCCACACGCGAGGUGUGACCAGUGCUGUACGUGAGCCCGGAGCUUGCGCCUGCACCAAGAUUUAACCGAGAAACAGGAUCAGCUCUGCUGAAAGCCAGGCAACACACACAGUGUGUGUGCCACAAGGCCGGCGGGUUCGCCGUGGCUCCCCCGCCACAGUCUUGCUUUCACUUCGCCUUCGGGUUUUGGGAGACCCUUAAACUUGCACACAUGCUAUACUCCUUGGCCCGUGUUUCGAGACGUGACCGACGGUGCUGGACUUGACACCACUCAGACCAACGCCCGGCUGAGAGACCUUGCAAAAUGCAGAGGGUCAUACCGCCUGGGAUAGACACUUCCGGCACAGUGGAAGCGUCCGGACGUCGGUCUGGCCAGAAAGCAGCUCGUCGCAUGAGGAUCGUACCAGGUUUAUCUCGGUCGCCGCCCGACCCAGGACUAGACACGCGUCCAUGCUCCUCCAAUACUGCUGGAGCAAUAGAGACGCAUCGUUGCCAUCGUCCUGGAUGCGCGAUCGGCAGUUUGAGCCUGUGGGUGACCUCACAACGUGCCGUGGUGGGCGUAACCGCAUUAGACACAGUAGCUUUGAACGCCCAUUCUCAAGGAAACGGCCAGAAGUCCUUCGGCCGAAGCCUAAGACCCCCAAACCGAAUCCCCGUACGUCAGCUGGUCGGCAAGCUUGAUGCUCCGCCUGACGAACCUUGCUACAUGCCUCACGAAACACCACGUGUGAUGCCCGAGACUGCGGAAGCCUUCCAAGCUCCGUCGGCUUAUACUCUGAGCGGUUUCACGGUCUUU